UGGAAUAUUGGUAAAUUGAUGAUUGGUAAUUUUGUAAAUAUGACUAUUGAUAGGGGUAUUUGCAAAACUUCAUAAUUGGGUGACAUUUUUGAAAUUAAAGCAUGGUUAUUUUGAAAAUUUCUUAAAAGGGUGGGGGCAAAGAUGGUAGUUUACUGUAUUUAGAAAAAUUAAUAAAAAGACAUGAAGAAUGGAAAAUUGCAAAAAGAACCCAAACUCUUCUUCUUCCUCUCAAGUGCAAACCCAACCACCAAACUUUGCCGUCCGAUCACCGUUUCAGAUGGCCGACCUACCAAAGAGCUUCUCCCAACCCCCACGAGCAUAACCCAACUAACCUCACCUCAAACCGUCACCCGUAGCCACCGGAAUCAUGCUUGGAAGCCCGCGGCCACCGUGAAGAAAAAGCUCCGAUCUGGCCAACUCCGGCCAUGGUUCAGCAUGCCGUUACCACCAUUCAUCUCACCGGACUGAGGAGCAGCUAGCCCAACCAAUUUUUGACCAAAACAGCCCUCGAAUGUCGGAGAUCCAACUUUGACCUGAAAUGGGUCAUUUUGACCCGAUCUUGACCCGGCUCAAAUUCCACUUUUCGGCGACCCUGAAGCUCUAAUCUGACUAGUUUCGAUGCUCUGAACACGUUGGUGAAGUUUUUGGAUCCAUACGGAUAGCGUUGGAGCAUCUUCGCAAUUACGUAGUAAAUAUUCGUAUACAUAGGGCAUACGUGCAGGCGGGAUAGGAUCUAAUGCACAGGCUGUGGAGUGGGAUGCGUGACGGAGGUGGCCUGGACUCUUGCGUGUUCCUUUGUGUUUAUGUGGUACAUGUGUGUGGUUAUAUAUAUUUGGAUGUAUAUGUAUGACUUGUUGUUUGCAUGUCACAGUUGUGGGAGUAGGUUGUUGAACUUGAAGUUAUGUUUAUGUUUUGGAUGAGGAUUGUAUUUGGUUAGCCGGGAGUGAGGUCCCAUGACUACUGUGUGACUGAUGACGAUGAUGAUUUGUGUUUGAUGGUGGACCCUGAGGGUCGGUUGACUUGGAUGGUAUUAGAAGUGUUUUCUUUGUU